rnacentral:lncRNA from 1 species
AGAGAUGUGUCCUAUCCAUAACUUUUUAAUUAAUUAAAAAAUGAUCCAAUCUUUGUGCACCUCCACAUUGGUUUUCCGUAAUUUUCUUAAGAUGUAGGGGCACUCAAUGAGUCAGGCAUCAGAUUUCAGAACAGAGUUGAACUGCAGCAGGGGAGAUGAUGAGUAAAGCCUUUAUCCAACGGAUGUUAGGUAAUUGUUUCCAGUUCUAUAUUUGGUAUCUGUAUUGGCGUCCCAAAUGAAAUUAAUUAAAGAUAAAGUACUCUCUGUGAUAUUUUUUAUUUAUAGGAUUUGAACUCGUUACUUCUUAUUAAGAAAAAAUAUUUUAUUUAUUCUAUCAUAACUCUAGGUACUAUUAACGCUGAUUGUUCGUACAAAAUCAUGUAAUCUAAUUUUAGCAAUUAAAAAUUAACAUGGGAAUGUCUGUAAAAUGAUAAAUGGGUAUAUGGAAGACACGUAUUUUGACCAUCAAAGGAUGUGGUGCAAUGAAUAAGAUUAUUCUCCAAAUCAGAGGUCUCGAGUUCGAACCCUAAGUAUGAAAAAAUCUUUGGAAGAGAGCGCUUCCUCGAAGGCCAUGCGCGGCGCAAAUUCGAAUAGCUCCAAUGGGGGUACCGAACGCCGAGUGGGAAACCGAAGAAAAAAGACACAUAUUUUGCGUUCAUUGACUUGUGUAACUGUCGACUAUGUGGGAAAAAGCAUUUUGCUUUCUUUAAUUUUUUUGCACAAAUUCAAAUUAGCUGGAUAAGUUACAGCUUGUUUGUUC